GGAAACCGGAAGUCUCGUUGCUUCACUGUGAUCUCGUGCUGGCGGCGGGAGAGUUGUGUUGUUUAUUAGUGAGUUUUAAACAUAGACAGUAUAAGAACGGUUUUAAGAAGACAGAGCUCCAGGUAAACCCACACACUCACUCAGAAUCCAGAGUGAGUCCAGCAGCCCCAGUGGACAUCUGCUGGAUUUCAGGACAAGAGAGGAAUGGAGGAGGACAACCAGAACCAGGAGCAGCGGAGCAACAAGGUCCCCAGAAGACCAGCAGCAGACUGGGACUCUGAUACCAGCCAUGUUCAGGAGCCCUCAGCAGACGUCAAGCUGGCGACCGGAGAAGGAAAGAG